UUUUCUCUGCUGUGUAACACGGUGCCACCCGAUCAGCCUGCGAUUCCAACAGCUUCUGAGAAAUGCUGUGCCAGGGAACUGCUGCUUCUACAAAUGACUGCACACCUUCCAGUCAGCAAAGCAGGUUUGUGUAUGGGGAUUAUUUACCGGAGAAGUGCAACGUGCCAGAAGGUAAUUCCUGAAAUUUUAAGAAAGGCCUGACAUCUACUUGGAAGAGGAAUCUUGGCUAGGGAUGCAGAAAAGAAAUACGGCUCUGUCUGACAUGGACACAGAAUGUGUCUACAAGCAAGGAGUCUGGAGACUGGGAGAACUGGGAGAGGACUGGGAGAACCCAGCCUGGGAAAUACUGGGCACUUGGCAGCAAAGCCCUUGUACCCACUCAGGGCUGCUGCUGCAGGCUCAGAGCUCUGAAAAUGGGCUUUCUGUUGCCUUUUCGAAUGCUUGGAGUGAGAGGGGUCUGAAUAAUAAUUUCUUUGGCCCUUGAAUGCAUUUGAAGCAGCAGCUGCAGGUGUCCUGUAGCUUUCCUCUGGCUUGUUCACACGCGAGGUUGGGUUCUUUGGCCAGAGCACAAAUAAUUGCUGGAAAUUAAUUUUCUGUGCUGCUCUGCAGUCAGAGCAGGCUGCCUGCUGGCCUGCACAGCAGGUGAGGGAGAGCCUUCACUUUGCUCUCACAUCUACCAGCAGAUGCUUGGACAGAAGUUUAAAAAUUAUCAGCUCCCUCCUGCUUGCCAGCCCUUGGCAUGGAAUGCUCCUUCCCAAACAAUUUCCUUUCCCCAGUGGUUGCCCGCUGUGCCCUGGAGGUGUGAGCUGCCUGCGGGGCUUUGCCUGGGAGAAACACACACUUGUGCAGAAUGGAACCUGAAAUGUCUGGAUGAACGUUUACAGGCAGGAUCGGAGUGGAAUUUCUAAAUCCUAUAGCACUGAAAUGAGCUGGUAUGUGAUACAUGUGACUGCCUUUAAAAAAAGAUUUAUUUCCAGCUGAUGUCAAGCCCAUUAAUUCUUACUUUGUUCUGGUGUCUCUUGUAAUUCGUCGUUGCUUUUGCCUGGUGCUGUUCCCUGGGAAGUGUGGCAGGGUUGUCCAGCAAGGUCCACGUGACUUCAUAAAGCUCUGAGGAUGUUCAAGGAAAAAAAGCAACAACUUCAGAUGAAAUUAAAUCCCUUGUGGCUCGGGUGUUUUUGAAAGCCCCAUGCUGGGAUGCUGCUGUUGGAGGACACUUUCCUCCGGCUUUUUAAACUGUUUUGUUUUAAAAGUUUCCUUGGACCCUCUGUCCUUACUGGGGCUUCCAGAGCUGCACUGCAGUUGUCAGUGUUGGUCCUGUUGAUGUAGAGACUCCUUAACUGCUGUAACCAGUCACUCACUCAUGCCCUGUUCCCAAGACUUUGCAGUUAAGGAAGGUGCCCAUCCUCGGCAUGUGACUUCUGCUCCUCCAGCUUGCGUUGGGGAGUUGUCCAGGCUUGGUGUCACCUCCACACACUGAAGCAUUCCAGGGAGUCCUGGAGUGUGACUGCAGCCUCAGCAGGUUCACUUACACCUGGGUGCCUCCAGAGGUUCCCUGGGCUCCGGGGCUGGUCACCAGCUGCGGAACCAAAGGAGCCCACGGGCCUCAGCCCUGCUACCCUGCCCAGGUCGGAUCAAGGACAGCCAGGUACUGUCACAUCCUCAGGAGUCCACGGGAUCAAGCACUGGCCAGCUGGAAAAACAGGUGUGAAAUUACCACUAGCAAUUGACAGUGAUAUUCAUGUGUGGAUGGACGAAGGACUGAUGUGAAGGGUGUAACAUCAGCAGCACCUGACUGUACAGUUAAACCAGAGAGAAACCAGGAAACACACAAUAAAGAGACCCAAGUGGUGCAAUUCCUAGGAAAAUUGUACAUUGUGCCCCUAGAGAGAGACCAACAUUGUGAGAGUGAUGUAACCUGAGAUGGGAAUCUGGAGUAUUUCAACCCUGUCAGGUGAAGUUAUAACCAUGCUGGCUUCAGCCCAGCUACACUGUAGACCAAUACGCUGGAAAAGAUCAAACCAUGAAUCCAAUCCCUGCAGGACCUGUGGUUUGGACAUUGAGCAGACCCCCAUCCAUAGGCAUGGAUGAGUUUAUCCAGUUUGAGAUUGACACUUACAUCCUUUAUUAUUUUGGGCUAGAGGACUGCAAGUCAGUGAAGGGAGACUGCAACCUUCCUGGUGUCCCUGAUGGAACUGGGGCAAUUGAAGUGACACUUGCUUAGUGCCAAACAGGCAAUUUAACCACAGCGUAGUUCUUCCUUUUAGUGUCAAGCAUUUAUUUUGCCCUAAAUAAAUGUGGGUUUGUUGCUGCCAACUGCUCCAUAUUCUUGUACAGUGAAUUCUUGUGGGUGCUUCCAAGGAGAGCAUAUAAAUGUCUGAAAAGAUCUAGUAGCAAAGAGGAAUUACCAUAAAUAAAUUAUAAACCAUGAAAAAAGGCAUGAUGAGGCAUAUCUGUAUAUUUGGAUGUUGAAAGCACCUGUGUUAUCGUCUUGGCUGAGCUCUUGCCACUGCCCCGUUGUUCUCCAUCACUGCCAUGAGACGCGGCUUGAGAGGGAGGGCUCCAGGGCUUCUGGUCUUUGCUGUGGGAGAAUCAAAGACACACCAGUCUGUGUCUUGUCAGCUUCUCCCUUCCACUUGCAUGUGUUUGGGUUAGGGACAAUUUCUGGAGGAAUUCACCUGCACUUGCCCUAAAGACAUGUGUUACUUGCCUUUUCUUUGAGCUUGACCUUGCUUGGGCAGGGUCCCUGGUGCCAAACUAAAGGGAAAUUUGGUGGUCAAACUCCCCUGUAAAUGCCUGGAUUUAAGCUGAAGUUGUGAACUGGCAAAUUUCUGUGUCUGGGCGGGUGAUACCUGUCUUUCUGCUGUGGAGAAACUCUGUGUAGCUUUUUUUUUUUGGUGUCAUUUGCUGCCCCUCAGUGUUUUGCUUUGACUGCUUUCUGCCUCUGCUGGGAACAUUUCUUUGCUUUAUGAUUUUGUAUCCCUCCAAUGCUGUCAGAUUCCCAUUAUUGUCCAGCCUUUCCCUCAUUUCCCAUGGCCUGAGGGAGCCAUAGCCUGUCUCAUGAUGUGGUGGGUGCAGGGUGAGAUGUUUGCCUGAUGGGGAGAGGUGCACAUGGUUUGGGAGCAGGGCUUGUCAGCUGGAGCUGGGAAUUAAAGCUCUCUCCUGCACAAAAGCUCCCUCUUUAAAAGAGCUUUGCAUUGGAUGUAACUUUUAAUUUGGCUUUGAAAGCCAGGCAGGCUUUGGAAACUCUCCCUGACACUAUCUGAACAAGGAUAUUGCUAGACUUUUUAUACAAAAGACACUUUAAUUAAACUCCCAUCAUGAAAACAAUUAGACCAAAUUUGCAGUACUUAACUAGUCAAUAAUUUAGUAGUUGGAGCUCAUUAAUAGACUUCUCCCUGUGCCUGCGUUGUAACGAUGCUGCACUGCCAGCUGCCUGCCAUGGAGAUCAAUCCGGGCUCAAUAUCUUCUGUCCCCUGCAAUGGUGACAUUGGUGCAAACUGGAUAAAUAAAUAAACCCCUUGUUACACUGAUGUUCCUCUGUCUCCUUAUGUUUGCCUUUGGGG